GAUGAAGAACGCAGCGAAAUGCGAUAAGUAGUGUGAAUUGCAGAAUUCAGUCAAUCAUCGAAUCUUUGAACGCACAUUGCGCCCCUUGGUAUCCCGAGGGGCAUGCCUGUUCGAGCGUCAUUUCACCACUCAAGCCUGGCUUGGUGUUGGGCGACGUCCUCUUUGGGGACGCGCCUCGAAACGCUCGGCGGCGUGGCACCGGCUUUAAGCGUAGCAGAAUCUUUCGCUUUGGAAGUCGGGGCCCCGUCUGCCGGAAGACCUGCUCGCAAGGUUGACCUCGGAUCAGGCAGGGAUACCCGCUGAACUUAAGCAUAUCAAUAAGCGGAGGA
rnacentral:misc_RNA from 1 species